GAUGGACGCUAGCGGCAGGCCUAACACAUGCAAGUCGAGGGGCAGCACAGAAACAGCAAUGUUUUGGUGGCGACCGGCGGACGGGUGCGUAACGCGUAUGCAAUCUACCUUUAACAGGGGGAUAACGGAGAGAAAUUUCCACUAAUACCCCAUAACAUCGAUCAAGGCAUCUUGAUUGGUUGAAAACUCCGGUGGUUAAAGAUGGGCAUGCGUUGUAUUAGGUAGUUGGUGAGGUAAUGGCUCACCAAGCCUACGAUACAUAGGGGGACUGAGAGGUUCGCCCCCCACACUGGAACUGAGACACGGACCAGACUCCUACGGGAGGCAGCAGUGAGGAAUAUUGGUCAAUGGGGGCAACCCUGAACCAGCCGUGCCGCGUGCAGGAAGACGGCUCUAUGAGUUGUAAACUGCUUUUAAACAGGGAUAAAGCACAGUAUGUAUACUGUGUUGAAGGUACUGUAAGAAUAAGGAUCGGCUAACUCCGUGCCAGCCGCCGCCGUAA
rnacentral:rRNA from 1 species